AAAGGAAUAGACGGGGGCCCGCACAAGCAGUGGAGUAUGUGGUUUAAUUCGAAGCAACGCGAAGAACCUUACCAGGUCUUGACAUCGUGCGCAUAACCUAGAGAUAGGGAAGCCCUUCGGGGCGCAUAGACAGGUGGUGCAUGGUUGUCGUCAGCUCGUGUCGUGAGAUGUUGGGUUAAGUCCCGCAACGAGCGCAACCCUUACAGUUAGUUGCUACGCAAGAGCACUCUAACAGGACUGCCGUUGACAAAACGGAGGAAGGUGGGGAUGACGUCAAAUCAUCAUGCCCCUUAUGACCUGGGCUACACACGUACUACAAUGGUCGUCAACAGAGGGCAGCGAAGGAGCGAUCCGGAGCAAAUCUCUAAAAACGAUCUCAGUUCGGAUUGUAGGCUGCAACUCGCCUACAUGAAGUCGGAAUUGCUAGUAAUCGCGAAUCAGCAUGUCGCGGUGAAUACGUUCCCGGGCCUUGUACACACCGCCCGU
rnacentral:rRNA from 1 species